CAGACAGACAAGAGGAUGUGAUUUGUAUGCAUCCCUGAGCCUGCUCAAAUCACCUCUGACCUGCAGGUCAGGCUGCAAAUGACAGCAGAGUGCAUGCACCUGAUCAGACAGCACAUUCUCAUUAGAAAGCCUGGGAAAAGGGGGCAGCUACACUGUGUUUACUCAUGGACCAAAUGCAAUCUACCCAGGAAAUGAGAGGAAAAAAGAUCAAUUUAGCUCAACGGAAGAAUGUGAGCGACAUCUCCUGUGAGCAGGGGGAUUUGUAUGCUGAGGGAGACACAUUUCCUUCCCCACCUGACCAGAACAUACAUACAGAGCAUAUAUAAUAGCAUACAUAAUGUCAUGACACGCACAACCAUACCAUCACUGUAAAAUUGCAAAUCAGAGGUUAUCUUGAAGCAAAGUCCAUCUGUAUCAUCCUGGGAGCUAAAGCACGGAACAAGAGGACAAAGUGGUACCAGCACAGAAGAGCACAGAUCCUUCUUGUUCAUUCUCAAGAAGACAAGAAGUCCAGGACUAGAACUCGCAAGUGCACUGGGCACAAAGGCUGCAUAGGUCUUCAUGAUAAGUGACCAGAUUUUGUUCCUUGUGUUAUGGAAGUCUCCCUCUUUUGAAAUCCCAUGUCUUCCACAGCACUUAUUCUCUUGAGAUAUUUAAUUAGAAGUGCCCAUUUUAGUCCUUUCUCCUGUGUAGAAAAAUGCGUAAACAAACGGAUGUUGGAAUUCCUCGAGUUUAUUUGGGCUUUGGUCCCACUUUUAUAUUUUCAGGAGGAAUAAGAAGGGAAGAAGAAAAAAGUAUCCUUGAAUGGCAGAGUAGCACUAAGUGCACUGGAACAGGAUGAAGAACCUCAGACCUCAUUUCUCAGUGUCAGACUCCCAGGGCACUGACUGCCACGUCUCCUGGCCAUCCUUGGAAGAGCAAUGUCAGAACGGAGACUGUAACUGAGACUCUAGUCUCUGGACAAGGUGAACAAUAAAUAUUUUCCCAGCUGAGUUUUAAUCAACCUUCUACUGAAAUGUCGUCAACAGUUUUUCCUUGUAACAAACAGAAUCGUAACCCCAGGAGCCCUCAAGGGUGCUCAGGAUAAAACUCUUCACUGUGCAGAAAUUCCAGCGUCAGGUGGAACAGAGAACACAGUGAUCAAACAUCUUUAUUUUGUUUAGCUCUUGGAAGGAGGGUUUUUAUUUUUCCUUUCUUACAGAGAGAUCUGCCAAUGCUUUCCUUUCUAGAACACUAACAUUUAAUAGCAUCUCCCUAAGAACAUCAUAAUUGAAUCGCAGAAUGGAAAAGAAAAUACUGUGGACCAAAUAAGCCUUCUCGAUGUCUGUUUCAUUCUUGCAAUGGCCAACUUUCACUUAGAUUUCCACCAUGUAAUAAUAUGGAAGUAGAGAGAGGAGAGAUUGUUUACCUGAUGAAGUUACAGCUUUUCUUAAAUGCUCCAUUUUGCCACUGGCUAUUAAGCAAUACUGGAUCUGCAGUGAACAUACAGUAAAAUUUGCACUGACUUCAAGUGUACAGAAAAGAGGCCAGCACUCUAGAAAUCCUGCUUUAUGUUCAUAAAAUAUCUGGGGGACCUGAAAAACCAUAGAUACUUGUUGCUUGAUGGAAUACUAACAUGUGAUUUCUCAGGAUAAGAAGACUGCUUUCUGAAAAGACAGAAUACCAUGGUAUUCUUGCAGAAAACCAUGUAGUUGUAACACAUAUUUUGGAGAGCACAGAUCAAAAGAAAUUGAACUCAUUAAC
ensembl:lncRNA